ACAUGUAUACAUGUACAUGUGUAUAUGUGUAAUAGGCGCCGCCAUUUUCCGUGUGAUCCAUGUAACAAGCUGAAAGAAAGACCUGGACCUAGGGUUGGCAAUGUGCGCAUGAAAAACAAACCAACCGUUGUCUGCAAUGCUGCGUUUUAUUGUAUUUGGCUAUGUAAAAAGCUUCCUAUUAAGGUCGCAACACACACAGCUGACAAACCAUUUUUAGCAAGUACAAUUCGCUAAUAUAGAAUUUGCUACGUUUGUUGCUUCAAAACAUUUGACAACCCUGCAGUCAACCUUUUUCUUUGUUGACAUUUUUGCCUAUGUGUGUGUGCGAGAGCGUUGUGCAUGUAGUUUAUCGGCGAUGGAGCUGCCACAAGUCUUAAGUUUUUAUGCAGCUCUAAAAUCAAAAUAGUGCAACAACAAAAUUGUAUUUGUAUACGAAAUAAUAUUCGAAAUAGCACUUCCAUUGCUUAUUUAUUUACAUAGGCAUACAAAAGUAGAUUAUCCAAAAUACCGAAAACUUUACUCAAAAGUGGCAACCUCGCGCAGGUCACUCUCAUUUAUAUGGUCUGCAAUGCGCAUGAGUGCAUAGUAGCCUCUCUCCCUCUCUCUUGCAGCCAAGUGUCUGGCCGUCUUUCAAACAGCUGAGAGCUGCAGCAGCUUUUAGGCACAAAAAAAAAAAUAGAAUACAUACAGACAUACACAUUUGCAACUAUUGCAGCAGUAGACAAUACGACAAAGCCGCUAUCGCUGUAAUACUGCAUAUUAUACAGAAUGGUCGUCGGUUCGAAUCAUACGCGGCGCAGUGAGACUGCCGGCAGAUAUACAAAUAGCAGCAGUAGCAACAGCGGCAACACGAAUAGUGGCAACAACUCCACCAGCGCAACGUCUUCAAUUACAAACGCAUCGUCAGUGGCGGCGGCGACGACGUUGUCGUCGUCGUCGGCGUCGUCAGUGUCACACAACAACAA